rnacentral:lncRNA from 10 species
UCAAGACUACUAUGAACAUCUUCACAUCCAUAAACUAGAAAACCUACAGGAGAUCGAUAAAUUCCUGGAAAUAUACAACCCUCCUGGAUUAAAUUAGGAAGAUAUAGAGACUCUGAACAGACCAAUCAGAAGCAGCAAGAUUGAAAAUGGUAAUUUAAAAAUUGCCAACAACAAAAAAGUCCAGGACCAGAUGAAUUCACACCUGAAUUCUAUCAGACAUUCAAAGAAUUGGUACUCAUCCUAUUAACACUAUUUCACAGGAUAGAGAAAGAGAAAUCUUCCCUAAAUCAUUUGAUGAAACCAAAAUCACCAUGAUAUGGUUUGGCUCUGUGUCCCCACCCAAAUCUCAUCUUUUAGCUCCCAUAAUUCCCACAUGUUGUGAGAAGGACCCAGUAGGAGAUGAUUGAAUCAUGAGGGCGGGUCUUUUCCAUGCUGUUCUCAUGACAGUGAGUGAAUGUCACAAGAUCUGAUGGUUUUAAAAACAGGACUUUCUCUACACAAGCUCUUUCUUUUUGCCUGCUGCCAUCCACGUAGGAUGUGACUUGCUCUUCCUUGACUCUACCAUGACUUUGAGGCCUCCCCAAAUAUGUGGAACUGUAAGUCAAAUAAACCUCUUUCUUUUGUAAAUUGCCCAGUCUCAGAUAUGUCUUUAUCAGCAGUGUGAAAAUGGACUAAUACACACCCUAAUACUGAAACAGACUAAUAGACACCCUAAUACCAAAAGCAAGGAAGGACAUAAUGAGAAAAGAAAGCUACAGACCAACAUCCCUGAUGAACAGAGAUGCAGUAAUCCUCAAAAAAAAUACUAGCUAGCUGAAUCUAACAACAUAUCAAAAAGAUAAUCCAUCAUGAUCAAGUGGGUUUCAUACCAGGGAUGCAGGGAUGGUUUAACAUCUACAAGUCAAUAAAUGCGAUACACUACAUAAACAGAAUUAAAAAACAAAAGUCACAUGAUCAUCUCAAUAGAUGCAGAAAAACCACUUGAGAAAAUCCAGCAUCCUUAUUUUAUUAAGACCCUCAGCAAAAUCAGCAUAGAAGGGACAUACAUUAAGGUAAUAAAAGCCAUCUAUGACAAACCCACAGCCAGCAUU